ensembl:lncRNA
UUGGCCUUGAUGACAGCUGUUCCCAUAGACUUUGUCACAGAAAAAUAAUGAGAAGCGCUACACUGUCUGUAUGGUAAAUUGUACAUUGCUGGGAGGGGUUUCUAUUUAAUUAAUUAUUUUCUGGCUACUUGGAGUUUAUAUAAUUUAAUAUAUUUCUAUAAGACUCAUUCUAUUGCUUCGUGAUUGAAUUUGGAAGUGGAAUCAAUCAAUAUAAUACACUACUUCCCUGUGUUGAGAGUAAAGGCCACCCAGAGAGCCACUGAGGUGGACCGGGAGCUGCAGACACUGAAAAAUGUGAUCCUGCAGGGGUGGCCUGAAGUGAAAAAACAUGUACCCUUGGAAGUAGCCAUGUAUUUUCACAACAGAGAUGAGCUGAGUGUGCAAAAUGGAGUUAUCUUCAGAGGUGAGCGAGGCAUUGUGCCUACUGCCCUGAGGUCAGAGAUAAUGCAGAGAAUCCAUUGCUCACAGAUAGGAACAGAGAAGAGCUUGUGAAUGUGUCUACUGGCCAGGCAUGAACGCACAGCUGAGAACAUACAUGGCACAAUGUAGCACCUGCACUGCAUGGGAUGUGAUGCAGCAGGAAGAGAUGCUGAGGCCACACGAAGCACCAAAGCAUCCCUGGGAAAAAUACGGGACUGACCUGUUCCAGUUCAACUACAGAGACUACAUGGUCACAGUAGAUUAUCUCUCCAACUUCUGGGAAGUGAACCAUUGAGAACACAGUCAAACGGUCAUUAGAAAACCGAAGACACAAUUUGCGCGCUAUGGGAUAGCUGACAUCCUUUACUCAGACAAUGGCCCCCAGUACUCUACAGAUGAGUUCUGAAGUUUCAGCAAGGCUUGGGACUUUACACACAAAACAUACUUUACAGGUAUCCUGGAGACUAAUGGGAAAAUGGAAUAGGAGGUGAAAACAGUGUUGUAACGUUGCAUUGAUGUGACGACUGCUGUUCAUCGAAUUAUUAACUGUUUAUAAUUACGUGAUUAAAUGAAUCAGGUAAUUAUUAACUCAUUAACCUUGGGGAAAGUUUUGGCUUUGAGUUUCAAUUUCCCAAAUAAACUCAAAGAAUAUAGAUUUUACAACAGUCACUAAUUAAUCAAUUUCCUCUACAGUCUCAUUCUGAUAGUCACAUAAUCUGGGAAUCUGCACAAACCCGAGUCUCACUAUACCAUUGAAUUGAUUAUUUAUUUAAUAACAAGCUAAAAUGAUAUAAGAUACACAAACAGAGUCUAGACCAUUGAUUAGAACUAAGUACAAUGAAACAGGUCCCUAGCGGGCCAACACAAUAUGACACGUGUUACACAAAACGGUGAUUUCAAAAGAGAGAAUGGAAUGGAUGUAAUGGAGUCCAGGUGAGUAUCAUGAUGAUCUGCAGGUGCGCAUAAUGAUGGUUGCCAGGUGUGCGUAAUGAUGGAUCCCAGGUGUGCGUAAUGAUGGAUCCCAGGACAGGUGGUUAGUAUACCGGCGAUGUCGAACACCAGAGGGGAGGAGCAGGAGUAGACUUGACAGUAGUCUAAUUCUACAACAGAAACACUACCAUUCAAAAGUCUGGGGUCACUUACUAAUGUUCUUGUUUCUUAAAGAAAAGCAAAUGUUUUUUUUCCAUUAAAAUAACAUCAAAUUCAUCACAAAUACAGUGUAGACAUUGUUAAUGU